rnacentral:RNase_P_RNA from 12 species
AGGGCGUGGCGGACGGUUGCUUCUGCUCCAAGAAGAGGAAAGUCCGAGCUGCAUUGAGACAGGGUUCCAUCUAACGGAUGGCUAUCGUAAGAUAAGGGAAAGUGCAACAGAGAAGAGACCGCCGAGUCAUCGGUAAGGGUGAAACGGAGGUGUAAGAGACCCCCGGAGUCCUAGCAAUAGGAGUCGCAUGGUAAACCCAACCCGCAGCAAGAAGGAUCUGGUUAAAGUCUCAAAACUUCGAAUCCUUCGCUUUAUCGCUAUUGUGAAAUAGUCGAAUAGAUGAAUAGCCGUCAUAACAGAACUCGGCUUACGGCCACGCCCCUCUC